UGGAAAGUAGCUCCCAUGUACUGUCUUCUACGGCUUUUGAUAUUUUUCUUAUGAUUUUAUUGACUCUCCUCAAUUUGAUUCUAGUCUUUGAGACAAUUUUCUGGGUUUUUUUUUGUUUUGUUUUGUUUUUGGUGCGCCUAUCACAAAAGCUUAAUGCCAGUAAGCCUAAAUGUUGUGAAAAUACACCAAGCUUCUCGAUUUACUGUCUCACUACCAGGGUGCAUUUGAAUAUUGUCAUGCAUUGUGGGGUCAAAAAUAUCAAACAUCAGCAUUGUCAUAUGGCUCAACACACACUAAAACAUCAUUUUAUAUGACACUAUAGUUCAACUGUGCAGCUAAUUGUCCCAAUGCAUUGGUCAUGGUUCCAGAAAAAUUCUCUUUUUGGAACCUGGGUCCUCUAAGGAAAUGCUCGGUUGUAAUGAAGCUAUGUAUCUUUGGCCACCAGACUGUCCCUUAAAUUAGUUGUGGGCAGCAAAUAAUCAAAACAGCAAGAAUAAACAAGACUAUGCAAUUUAGCAUUUGUUUUCAUUUAGGCUUAGAUGCUGCAUUUGAAUUUUAUGAUGUGAUUAGUUUUUAGCGAUAUAAUUUGAGGAAAGCAAUGAGAUGUUACUACAUGUGUGACCUCAGUCAAGAAAUUCCUGGCCACUCUUAAUAGAAGCCAUGACUGUACCUGGUUAUCCAUAAAGGAAGAAUCCACCUGGUUCUUGCUGUAGGAACUUGGUAUUGGAAUUGCUUUUCCAUGCCUGACUGGAAGAAGACAAGCCAGUGCCCCCAGGGAUCUGCAGGCUGCCGCGAGGUUGCCUUGGCCUCCACCCCACUUCCCACCACGUGAUGUGCCAGGAGUGGUGAAAAUUAUAACCUUCCCUGGGCUAGAGGCCCUCCUUUCCCUCCAAAAUGGUAACGUGGUCAUAUAAUUUACAUUUGUUUUAUGAGUCUGUGUUCUCUAUGUAAGAUACAUGUUUCAGAGUCAAUCAUUUAUUUUUCAUCCAGACUAAAACAUUUAUAUAAGCCUUUGGACCUCAGUCUUCUCACUGUAAACAGGACCUGGACUAAAUACUUCUAAGGUCAUUUUUGGUAACAGGCCAUGUGGUUGACCAAUGACAUUUUCAUUGGUAAGAUAUUAAUGCAUCUAUAACACACACACACACACACACACACACACACACACACACAGAGAGAGAGAGAGAGAGAGAGACCUUUUUUCAUAGAACUGAUUUUUAUCAUAAUUUCCAUGUAACAUUUCCAUGCAAGUUUCUUUUAAAGAGUGGAAAUAAAUCUACUUAUGGGCAAUUCACAUUUUGUGAACAACUUCAUCACAGCUUAACCAAAUUUCUUCAAACAUGCCAAAGGCACUAAGAAGGACAACUUGAAAGUUCUAAAGGAAGCCGUUUGCAUUUAGGAAAAAAAAAA
rnacentral:lncRNA from 1 species